rfam:Oryza sativa Japonica Group DNA, chromosome 6, cultivar: Nipponbare, complete sequence.
UCUGUGUGAAAUGUCCCUAAGUUUCCGUGUCUAAAGUUUAACUGUCCGUCUUAUAUGAAUUUUUUUAUAAUUAGUAUUUUUAUUGUUGUUAGAUGAUAAAACAUGAUUAAUACUUUAUGCGUGACUUAUCUUUUUAAUUUUUUUUCAUAAUUUUUCUAAAUAAGACAGAUGAUCAAACGUUGGAUACGAAAACCCAGGGUUUGCCUUUUU